UCCACGCCCUAAACGAUGAACACUAGUCGUCGGGAUGCUAGUCAUCUCGGUGAUGCACUUAACAGAUUAAGUGUUCCGCCUGGGGAGUACGGUCGCAAGAUUAAAACUCAAAGGAAUAGACGGGGACCCGCACAAGUGGUGGAGCCAAUCUCAUAAAGCGUCUCUCAGUUCGGAUAGCAGUCUGCAACUCGACUGCUUGAAGCUGGAAUCACUAGUAAUCGUAG
rnacentral:rRNA from 1 species